rnacentral:lncRNA from 1 species
UCUCCACUUUCAGACUUAGAUGAAAUAGCAUUAAAGAUGAUACAAGAUGGCCACACGUAUAUGACUGGUGCGACUCAGCCCUGCUCCUCCUGUUUUUCCCUCCAGCUGGCUGGCUCAGGAAUACUCUCACAGUGAUGGCAGAAGAGCAAAUCUGGAAGUUCAAACACUCAAAUGUGUUGUUGGAUUUCUGCAUGCAUCACAUGGGCUAACAACUGGUCAAAGCAAAUCACAUGGCCAAACUAAAAAUCAAAGGCCUGGAAGAAACCUGGACCCCCAACAAAAAGACCUGUUGACAUGUAGACCUCAGAUAAGGGAGAACUGAGGAUUGAGCUCUGAUCACAAUUCUUUUUUCUACUGUUCUUCCUGAGGGGCCUGGAGGAAGUCACAUCCACAAGCCAGAGCUAACCCUUUUUCUGCUGACCCCAAAUUUUUAAACAAAGCUUCUUUUCCUUAACCAAUUGCAAAUCAGAAAAUCUUCAAAUUUGCCUAAGACCUGUAAGCUUCUGCUUCAAUAUGUCACACCUUUUCUUAGGCCAAACCAAUGUAUAAACUCCGUGUAUUAAUUUAGACUGUAACUUCUGCACUCCUGAAAAUUUCCCCCGGCUUUGAAAACCCUUUCUUGUAAGCCAGCCGGGAGUCUGGGUCUUAAACAUGAGCUGCCUGAUUGUCCUUGCUUGGUGCCCUGCAAUAAAUGCCUGAUUGUUGUGGUGCAGUUUGGAUGUCAGUAUUUCGCUUUGCUGGACCACGGAGGCCGACCUAUGUUUGGUUCAUUCACUAACAUAAGGAAGUGGAUUCUGCUAAAACACAGUGAGCUUAGAACUGAAUGCUGAGACUCUCUGAUGAGAUCAUAGCUCGGCUGACAUUUUUAUUUUAGCUUGGUUGAGACUAUAAGCAGAGAACCCUGCCCAGAAUCCCUACUCAAGGAAACUGAGAUAAUAAAUUUUCAUUGUUCUAAGCCACUGUUUGUAAUAGUUCCUUACACAACAACAAUAAUAAUAAGAGUAAUAAAAACUAAUUCACUUGCUUUCAUGGAACUUACGAUUAUUAAGUGAGACACAUUAUGAAUAUCUGCCCAAAAAGUAAAUAAUACAAUUUCAGAAAAAUAAGUGCUUUGGAGUACAUUAAUAUAGGUGAGGUGUAAGAGAAGGUGAAUAGUGUCUCAAUGAUAGAAGUGUGGAUACCAAAACACUAUUAAACCCACCCAGUUUUUUCAUACACAUUUCUGUUGGAUGAACAUAGAAAUUGACCCUUCUGGGCUUUAAGCUUGAAACUUACGUUUGUUUUAUCUGAGUUCCUUCCCCAGGAAAGGAUCCCAAAGGCCUCUAAAAAAGUAUACAAAAACCUGAAACUAACCAGAUUAUUGCAUUCAGAUGAUGAGAUGCCAGGACCCUCAUUCAUCAUGAUUGUUCCUUAUCCUCCCUGCGUUCCCCACACAGUUACAUUUCUUCCCUGCUAUAUAAACCCCUAAUUGUAUUCAGUCAGGAAGAUGGGUUCGAGACUGAUCUCUCAUCUCCUCAGCUGCAUCACCUGAUUAAAGCCUUCUUUUUUGGCAAUGCUCAUCCUCUCAGUCAUUGGUUUUCUGUGCAGUGAACAGCAGGACCUAGACUGAACUCCUGGUAUUUUGGUAACAACUGCAAGAAGGCUCAAAUUGCUGAAAUUCAAAGGAAGUCAACACAUUGUAAGAAGAGCCAAGAGGGUACAUGGCAGAGCAGAAUUUGACACAUUAUAAGAUGAGCCAGGAGGGUAUAUGGCAGAGCCAAGAGGGUACAUGGCUAGAGGUGUCGUAAGGGAGUCUGCUAGGGGAGAGUCUGGACAGGAAGGAAAGGGUCAGAUAAUGAAAGAUCAUGGCAGUAAUUCAUUUCUACAUUUUGAAACUUAAUAAUCUAUUUUUUAUAAUUUUAAAAGCAUUGACCAUUUUUGAGAGAGAAUUUCUGUAGCUUGUUUAGUGUUUUCAAACUCUGUUAAUAUACUUAUUUUUCUAACUAAUCUUCAGUUAAUUUUGAUGAUGUAUUUUAUUUUUACACAGCCGACUAUUUAAUUGUUGUACCCAACUUUACAUAUAAUUGUACACUGAGCUCCAAUUAUCUGUAUAUAAUUGGGAAUCAAAGCCUGUGAGUGACACUUUGUUUUCUGAGUGAUCUUUGGAAUUAAUUAACAUUGAUACUGUGUUUCUGAUUUUCUAUGUAUUAGCGUUAUGCUUGGGUCAUCAGAGAUUUAUUCUUAUUCUACUUUGUGGUUAUCUUGUAUUUAACAACUCUAUGUAGCUAAUCCCUAAUUGAAUCAAUUGUUAUCAUUUCAUCAUAAUAAAAUAAUCAUCAGUAACAAGGCGUGCUGGAGCUACUGGCGUGCAUUGGCUUACAAAAGACCACCAUGGACAUUAUUUCCCAACUCCCUUAUCAGUGGUGCCAUCUUGAGAGUUUGAAAUUGUCAACAGUGGAAAUAGUUGUAUCACAAAAUCAGCAAAUAUUACAAUAAUAGGUUUUGUUUCCUCAGAAAGACAGUUAAAUUUUACUAGCAUACCAGUGAUGAGACACAACCUUUCUGUAUGUCAAUUUAUAAAAAUUUCAACAUGAG